AUGGGAGCUUGCUCCCAUUUCUCAGCGGCGGACGGGUGAGUAACACGUGGGCAACCUGCCCUACAGACUGGGAUAACUCCGGGAAACCGGAGCUAAUACCGGGUAAUACAUAGCAUCGCAUGAUGCAACGUUGAAAGUUGGCCUUUGGCUAACACUGUAGGAUGGGCCCGCGGCGCAUUAGCUAGUUGGUAAGGUAACGGCUUACCAAGGCCACGAUGCGUAGCCGACCUGAGAGGGUGAUCGGCCACACUGGGACUGAGACACGGCCCAGACUCCUACGGGAGGCAGCAGUAGGGAAUCUUCCGCAAUGGACGAAAGUCUGACGGAGCAACGCCGCGUGAGUGACGAAGGCCUUCGGGUCGUAAAGCUCUGUUGUUAGGGAAGAACAAGUACCGUUCGAAUAGGGCGGUACCUUGACGGUACCUAACCAGAAAGCCACGGCUAACUACGUGCCAGCAGCCGCGGUAAUACGUAGGUGGCAAGCGUUGUCCGGAAUUAUUGGGCGUAAAGCGCGCGCAGGCGGUCUCUUAAGUCUGAUGUGAAAGCCCACGGCUCAACCGUGGAGGGCCAUUGGAAACUGGGGGACUUGAGUGCAGAAGAGGAGAGUGGAAUUCCACGUGUAGCGGUGAAAUGCGUAGAUAUGUGGAGGAACACCAGUGGCGAAGGCGGCUCUCUGGUCUGUAACUGACGCUGAGGCGCGAAAGCGUGGGGAGCGAACAGGAUUAGAUACCCUGGUAGUCCACGCCGUAAACGAUGAGUGCUAGGUGGUUGGGGGGGUUCCACCCUCAGUGCUGAAGUUAACACAUUAAGCACUCCGCCUGGGGGAGUACGAACCGCAAGGUUGAAACUCAAAGGAAUUUGACGGGGGGCCCGCACAAGCAGUGGAGCAUGUGGUUUAAUUCGAAGCAACGCGAAGAACCUUACCAGGUCUUGACAUCCUCUGCCA
rnacentral:rRNA from 1 species